rnacentral:rRNA from 1 species
GUGGAUUAGAUACCCGGGUAGUCCACGCUGUAAACGAUGAUUACUAAGUGUUGGAGCAAUUCAGUGCUGCAGUUAACGCAAUAAGUAAUCCGCCUGGGGAGUAUGCACGCAAGUGUGAAACUCAAAGGAAUUGACGGGGGCCCGCACAAGCGGUGGAGUAUGUGGUUUAAUUCGAAGCAACGCGAAGAACCUUACCAAGUCUUGACAUACCGUGCAAAACCCUGGAGACAGGGGAAUAGUUAUGGCGGAUACAGGUGGUGCACGGUUGUCGACAGCU